AUACGGAGGGUGCAAGCGUUACUCGGAAUCACUGGGCGUAAAGAGAAUGUAGGCGGGUUAAUAAGUUGGAAGUGAAAUCCUAUGGCUCAACCAUAGAACUGCUUUCAAAACUGUUGACCUAGAAUAUGGGAGAGGUAGAUGGAAUUUCUGGUGUAGGGGUAAAAUCCGUAGAGAUCAGAAGGAAUACCGAUUGCGAAGGCGAUCUACUGGAACAUUAUUGACGCUGAGAUUCGAAAGCGUGGGGAGCAAACAGGAUUAGAAACCCUAGUAGUCC
rnacentral:rRNA from 1 species